GUUCUCUUCCCUGGUAGGGCUGCUGUAAGGCUUUGAGGGGAUGUGUUUAUUCAAGCACCCAGCAUGAUACCUGGCAAGUGACAGCGCUAAGUAGUGUCAGGCCAAAAGAGGAUUAAAAUCCCAGGUUUACCUCCCCUCUCCUUCUCUUCCCCUUUCCAGCCCAGCAGGAGCCAGGGAGGUUUUUCAGAGAAUCCAACCUACCCUCUGCCACUCGCUGACAUUAGGACACUGAGGCCUGAGAAUUGGAGCCAGUGGGGUUCCCUUCCUGUCUGAGCCAGGUCUCUGACUGCCACCAGCAUUUCCCUUAAAACCGGUUCACCUGGCUUCUAAUAAGACAAACGGGCCCUUUCAGUAGUUAGCACUUAGGCAGGAUUUCAAUUUUUUUUUCCAAAUUUUUAUUACCUUACAUUUAAAACAUUUAUUGCCUUGCUAGUUUCCGGCCCAGGGUGCAGACACAGAGAUGAAAAAUAGGACUGCUGAGUACUUACAUUCUUGGCUGAGAGAAACUUCUGCCCUCCCCCAUACCCUACUCUGCAGGGUGGGCACCCGAAAGGAACAUACCAGCAGGGUUCUAGGUUUAGACACCUCCCCACAGCCCUUCUGGAUGCACCCAGGCCAGGAAUGGGCAGGCUGAGGACUAAGGAGGCUAAUUUUUAGGGAAAGAGCAAGCUCUGCCUAGGUAUAAAAGGAGUUGUAGCCCAGACUCCUGGGUGCCAGGACAAGGGGAGAAAUUUGAAGUGUACUAAAGGUAUCCAUGAACCAGACCCUUUCGGAACAUUUAAGCCUCACUGUAUGUGUGGGCCAGGGAUCAUCAUAGCCAUUUUUCCCAUGAGAAAAACAGAACUUGUGAAGUUAUCACUUUCUCCACAUAAAGGGCUUCUCCAGCAUCACCAGUGAAAAAUCGGGUCUGGUCAGCAACCACCAUCUCUGAGAGGACUUCCAGGUACCCCCAGAUAGUGUGAAGUCUGCCCGACGCUCAUCAUGGAACAUUCCACAUCCCGGUUAGAGGUUGUCCAUCCCUGGAGGCAGAACCCACUUCCCAUCACAGAAACUAGAAAGGUAUCUUUCCCAAGCUUCCUUGCACAUGUACGUGUAAUUCAUUCAUGGAAGGAAACAUGCUUCUUUGGCUGGACACUGAUGUGGGUAACUCUGUUGCUGGGAGCUGCAGCCCUCACAUUGUAAUGAGGAAACAAGCCCAAGAGCAGCCAAUGUGCAAAAGAUCAGAAAGAUGGGAGGAACUUUUAUGGCUUCAGAGUUCUUAUAAUGUGAGAGAAUAAAAUCUCUGCCCGAGCCA
rnacentral:lncRNA from 12 species